UGGGGAAUUUUGGACAAUGGGGGCAACCCUGAUCCAGCCAUGCCGCGUGAGUGAAGAAGGCCUUCGGGUUGUAAAGCUCUUUCGGCGGGGACGAAACGGUCCGUGACAACACCACGGACUAAUGACAGUACUCGCAGAAGAAGCACCGGCUAACUACGUGCCAGCAGCCGCGGUAAUACGUAGGGUGCAGGCGUUAAUCGGAAUUACUGGGCGUAAAGCGUGCGCAGGUGGCUCCUUAAGUCAGAUGUGAAAUCCCCGGGCUUAACCUGGGAACUGCGUUUGAAACUGAGGAGCUAGAGUGUGGAAGAGGGGGGUGGAAUUCCAGGUGUAGCAGUGAAAUGCGUAGAGAUCUGGAGGAACACCGAUGGCGAAGGCAGCCCCCUGGGCUAACACUGACACUCAUGCACGAAAGCGUGGGGAGCAAACAGGAUUAGAUACCCCCGUAGUCCCUGAGCGGGCUGGCAAGGCGCAU
rnacentral:rRNA from 1 species